CACACAUCAUCCAGCACUCACACACACAUCAUCCAGCACUCACACACACAAUCAUCCAGCACACACACACAAUCAUCCAGCACACACACACAAUCAUCCAGCACACACACACACACACACACAUCAUCCAGCACACACACACACACACAUCAUCCAGCACUCACACACACACACACAUCAUCCAGCACUCACACACACAACAUCAUCCAGCACUCACACACACACACAUCAUCCAGCACUCACACACACACAUCAUCCAGCACCUCACACACACACAUCAUCCAGCACCUCACACACACACACACACACUCAUCCACAGCACGCACACACACACACAUCAUCCAGCACACACACACAUCAUCCACAGCACACAGCCACACACACACACACACACAUCAUCCAGCACACACACAUCAUCCAGCACACACACAUCAUCCAGCACACACACACUCAUCCAGCACACACACACAUCAUCCAGCACACACACACACACACAUCAUCCAGCACACACACACACAUCAUCCAGCACUCACACACACAUAAUCCAGCACACACACACACAUCAUCCAGCACACACUCACACAUCAUCCAGCACACACACACACAUCAUCCAGCACACACACACACAUCAUCCAGCACACACACACACAUCAUCCAGCACACACACACACAUCAUCCAGCACUCACACACACAUCAUC